GACAUAGGUCGCAAACGUUAUCCGGAAUUAUUGGGCGUAAAGGAUGCGUAGAUGGUUCAGUAAGUUACUGGUGGGAAAUCGAGGCCCAACCUCGUGGAAGUUAGUAAUACUGUUGAACUUGAGUGUAGGAGAGGUUAACGGAACUUCAUGUGGAGCGGUAAAAUGCGUAGAUAUAUGAAAGAACAUCAAUAUGGCGAAGGCAGUUAACUAUUCUGCUACUGACAUUGAGGCAUGAAAGCGUGGGGAGCAAAACGG
rnacentral:rRNA from 1 species